GAUGAAGAACGUAGCGAAAUGCGAUACGUAAUGUGAAUUGCAGAUCUCUCAGUGAACCAUCGAAUUUUUGAACGCACAUAGCGCCCGCCGGUCAUUCCGGCGGGCAUGCCUGUCCGAGCGUCGAUGACGCCGCUCGAGCCCCCGUGCUCGGUGUUGGGGCGCUAGGUCUCCCAGAGGCCUAGGCCCCCAAGUAGCAGUGCGCGGUCCGGCUGCGGGCCCCGGGUACAGUAACUUCACUGUUGAGAUGCCCUGGGAGCCGCUGGCUGGGUCAGCUGUAAAACCCCCGACAUAGGCCUUCCUGUCCGCCCCCGGCGGGGAGGGAGACCGCCUAAUGUUGACCUCGGAUCAGGUAGGACUACCCGCUGAACUUAAGCAUAUCAAUAAGCGGAGGA
rnacentral:misc_RNA from 1 species